ensembl:lncRNA
AUGCCCAGCCUGAUGGAUGAGGGGAGAAAGGCCUUUCACACUGUCCCCUUUGCCUGGGGCACCAACUGGAGAGAAGAUGGUGAAACAACAGAAUGUUUCUGACUGUAUUUGAUGUUGUAAUGUGCUUGGUUUUCAAGAUCCAACUCAGAUUUGGUUUGCCUUUGUAAGUGUGCACCUAUAUAUGAAUAACCUGUGUACAUCCUGCAUCCAGCAAGGUGAAUGUCUGCUGUCAUUGACUGCUCUGCCCUCUGGAGUGAGAUUCCAGAGCUCCUGCAGUACGUUACAAAGCCAGCUAAGUAUUCUAUGGAAAAAAAACCCAUUCUAACUAAGUGACUGCUUAGGUCAUACAUUCUGUGGCUUUGUGCAGAAAUAGUUUAAUGUUAAUAGAGUUAGUAAUUUCCAAGGGUUUCCAUCUAUGUAAACAUGAUACAAAUUCUCUUUUUAUAUCUGUCUUGGAUGGUAAGAAAGGGAAACAUCUCUUUGUUCCUCAUCAUAAGGCAGGACACCAGAUCUUGCAUUUAUGACCAGAUGUUUCAUCACUGGGCAAAAACUGCCUCAUUCACAGUUAUAAUAAGAAGGUUGCUGAAACCACAUGGUCUCCAAGUUGUAGAUAGCAAUUAUCAUUACUGCUGGGUUUCAGAGAAAAGUGUUCAGUUUUUGUUGUUGUUGUUGUUUUGUUUUGGUUGUUUUUUGUUUUUUGUUUUUUUGUUUUUUGUUUUUUUUUGUAAUUUUGAUUACCAGUGACAUAAGAAGUCAAAGUCCUAAAAAUCCUAAAACAAAUGACAUAUUUAGCCUUACUAUGCAGGGCUCUAGGAAGUAAUCAGAUACUUACAUCAACAUGGAGCCUGUGUGGGUCAAGUCUAAGUGGUUUAGAAGUAAUUUGCAAUGUUGUAUAAAUAACUAUUGAUGCAACAACAGCCGUGGAGUAAGGAUGAGGAGAGCAGUUUGAGAAAGUGGAACACCAGGGGUUAGUUUGUGUUUUACUUUAAUUAAAUCCUUUCUUGGCUUAGGACGUAGGUUUUUGAGAAAGCAUGCUAACCUUCAGCCAACUUGUAUUUGCAAAGUCCUUGAAUGGAUUCGCCUUCACAAUAUAUCUGACAGUAAGAUGGCAGGAAACUUCUCCAGAGCUGCGACCUGCUUCAGUGAUGCAAAUGUAACACAGCAACAAUAUUUAAUGAAAUAGUGGUCAGAAGGUUCCAGCUCUACUGCCAUACCACCAACAUCUGCCUCUAACUCUGUGGGCCAAACGAAUAAAAUGGGAGGCAUUGCUUCUAGAGCAGAUCUUGUUCUUAUUUACCGGCUUCUUUUUCUGCUAGCCACCAGGCAAAUACCUGUUCUAUGUCAUGUGUCUGGUUCUCAGAGUUUGGCCCAUUGUGACUUUACAACUGAAAAAAUAAUUUCUACAACAGGGAGAUCAUUAAAGAAGUUGCCGUACCAGACAUUAUAGUUUGAAAACGUAAACAGCAACAGCUCUAGCCUAAGAUGCUGCCAGUAGCACCUCAAUCCCUCAGUUGAACUGAGGGUUGUGGGACCACACUGUGAACUAUGAAAGGACGCCAACACAAUUUUAAAACUUUGGAACAAAGAGUGAUAUUGUAUGAUUUGAGGGAUUUGGGGUUUCUCAGGCAGGUCAGAUUGAAGCAUCAGAAGUUUCUUUCUGGAACCUACACCACGGAAGCAGGCAGUAUGGAGUAGGUUUAUGUUUUUAUGCUAUCAUUUUUCGUUUCCAUUUCAAUCUUGAACUUCAGGGUUUAUACAGCAUGGAUAAAAUUCUGAUUUUAUGUAACUUUUUAUAUAAAUCAGAUGUUGGAAAGAACACAAAAAAUAAAUACAGAGACUGAAAG